GAUGAACGCUGGCGGCGUGCCUCAUGCAUGCAAGUCGAACGGGAAUCUGUUUGGUAGCAAUACUGGAGAGAUUCUAGUGGCGAUCGGGUGAGUAACACGUAGGUGACCUGCCUUGAAGAGGGGGAUAACGGUCCGAAAGGACUGCUAAUACCCCAUGUGACGGGCGAUUCAGUUUGUUCGUGAAAGGUUCCGAAAGGUUCCGCUUUGAGAGGGGCCUGCGGCCCAUCAGGUAGUUGGUGGGGUAACGGCCUACCAAGCCGAUGACGGGUAGCUAGUC
rnacentral:rRNA from 1 species